rnacentral:lncRNA from 1 species
AAAAUUCAAGUAAUCAAUCAAUUGGAUCAAAUUAACUUGGCAAUUAAAGCUCAUUUCUCUAAUUCACCAUGAAUCUGGCCUCUAAAUCCUCCUUUCUUCGAGAAAAAUGAGAUUUAGCCUCUUAUACUUGGAGAUUUGGUCUCACAAGGCAUGUUUGGCUAAUGAGAAAAUGAAAGAAAAUGAAGGAAAAUAGAGAAUUCUAUUAAGAGAUAGAAUCUAGAAAAUCUACUGUCAAAAGUUUCAAAAAGCUUUUUAAUGGGAGAUUCAAG